rnacentral:rRNA from 1 species
AGAGUUUGAUCCUGGCUCAGAUUGAACGCUGGCGGCAUGCUUUACACAUGCAAGUCGAACGGUAACAGGUCUUCGGAUGCUGACGAGUGGCGAACGGGUGAGUAAUACAUCGGAACGUGCCUAGUAGUGGGGGAUAACUACUCGAAAGAGUAGCUAAUACCGCAUGAGAUCUACGGAUGAAAGCAGGGGACCUUCGGGCCUUGUGCUACUAGAGCGGCUGAUGGCAGAUUAGGUAGUUGGUGGGGUAAAGGCUUACCAAGCCUGCGAUCUGUAGCUGGUCUGAGAGGACGACCAGCCACACUGGGACUGAGACACGGCCCACACUCCUACGGGAGGCAGCAGUGGGGAAUUUUGGACAAUGGGCGAAAGCCUGAUCCAGCAAUGCCGCGUGCAGGAUGAAGGCCCUCGGGUUGUAAACUGCUUUUGUACGGAACGAAAAGCCUGGGGCUAAUAUCCCCGGGUCAUGACGGUACCGUAAGAAUAAGCACCGGCUAACUACGUGCCAGCAGCCGCGGUAAUACGUAGGGUGCAAGCGUUAAUCGGUAUUACUGGGCGUAAAGCGUGCGCAGGCGGUUUUGUAAGAGGGUGGUGAAAUCCCCGGGCUCAACCUGGGAACUGCCAUUGUGACUGCAAGGCUAGAGUGCGGCAGAAGGGGGGAUGGAAUUCCCGCGUGUAGCAGUGAAAUGCGUAGAUAUGCGGAGGAACACCGGAUGGCGAAUGCCAUUCCCCUGGGUCUGCACUGACGCUCAUGCACGAAAGCGUGGGGAAGCAACAAGGAUUAGAUACCCCUGUACUCCCACGCCCUAACGAUGUCCACUGUGGGUUUGUGGUCAUUAACCUGACCUCAGUAAACGAGCUAACGCGUGAAGGUCGACCGGCCUGGAGGAAGUACGCCGCUAUGAUUGCAUACUCAUGUAGUUGACGGAUCGUCAUAACGGUGAGAAGAUAUGAUCUGUCCUAUAAAAUCUG